rnacentral:rRNA from 1 species
UACGUAGGGGGCAAGCGUUGUCCGGAUUUAUUGGGCGUAAAGGGUGUGUAGGCGGUUGUUUAAGUUUGGUGUGAAAUCUCCCGGCUCAACUGGGAGGGUGCGCCGAAUACUGAAUGACUUGGAGUGCGGGAGAGGAAAGUGGAAUUCCUGGUGUAGCGGUGAAAUGCGUAGAUAUCAGGAGGAACACCGGUGGUGUAGACGGCUUUCUGGACCGUAACUGACGCUGAGACACGAAAGCGUGGGUAGCAAACAGG